GAUGAACGCUGGCGGCGUGCCUAAUACAUGCAAGUCGAGCGAACGGACGAGAAGCUUGCUUUUCUGAUGUUAGCGGCGGACGGGUGAGUAACACGUGGAUAACCUACCUAUAAGACUGGGAUAACUUCGGGAAACCGGAGCUAAUACCGGAUAAUAUUUUGAACCGCAUGGUUCAAAAGUGAAAGACGGUCUCGCUGUCACUUAUAGAUGGAUCCGCGCUGCAUUAGCUAGUUGGUAAGGUAACGGCUUACCAAGGCAACGAUGCAUAGCCGACCUGAGAGGGUGGUCCGCCAGCCUGGAACUGAGACACGGUCCAGACUCCUACGGGAGGCAGCAGUAGGGAAUCUUCCGCAAUGGGCGAAAGCCUGACGGAGCAACGCCGCGUGAGUGAUGAAGGUCUUCGGAUCGUAAAACUCUGUUAUUAGGGAAGAACAUAUGUGUAAGUACCUGUGCACAUCUUGACGGUACCUAAUCAGAAAGCCACGGCUAACUACGUG
rnacentral:rRNA from 1 species